rnacentral:tRNA from 1 species
GGAGAGGUGGCCGAGUGGCUGAAGGCGCACGCUUGGAAAGCGUGUAUAUUCUUACGGGUAUCGGGGGUUCGAAUCCCUUCCUCUCCG